GGAGGGAUGGCAGAGUGGUCGAUCGCGACGGUCUUGAAAACCGUUAGGUCCGCAAGGAUCUCCAGGGUUCGAAUCCCUGUCCCUCCGCCA
rnacentral:tRNA from 1 species